rnacentral:rRNA from 1 species
UACGUAGGGUGCGAGCGUUAAUCGGAAUUACUGGGCGUAAAGCGUGCGCAGGCGGUUCGUUGUGUCGGCGGUGAAAGCCCCGGGCUCAACCUGGGAAUGGCCGUUGAAACUGGCGAACUGGGAGUGUGGCAGAGGGGGGUGGAAUUCCGCGUGUAGCAGUGAAAUGCGUAGAGAUGCGGAGGAACACCGAUGGCGAAGGCAGCCCCCUGGGCUGACACUGACGCUCAGGCACGAAAGCGUGGGGAGCAAACAGG